CAGCUAGUUGGUAAGGUAAUGGCUUACCAAGGCUACGAUGUUUAGGGGAUCUGAGAGGAUGACCCCCCACACUGGUACUGAGACACGGACCAGACUCCUACGGGAGGCAGCAGUAAGGAAUAUUGGUCAAUGGGCGGAAGCCUGAACCAGCCAUGCCGCGUGCAGGAAGACGGCCCUACGGGUUGUAAACUGCUUUUGUACCGGAAUAAACCCUGAUUCGUGAAUCAGGCUGAAUGUACGGUAAGAAUAAGGAUCGGCUAACUCCGUGCCAGCAGCCGCGGUAAUACGGAGGAUCCAAGCGUUAUCCGGAUUUAUUGGGUUUAAAGGGUGCGUAGGCGGCCUGUUAAGUCAGGGGUGAAAGACGGUAGCUCAACUAUCGCAGUGCCCUUGAUACUGAUGGGCUUGAAUGUACUAGAGGUAGGCGGAAUGUGACAAGUAGCGGUGAAAUGCAUAGAUAUGUCACAGAACACCAAUUGCGAAGGCAGCUUACUAUGGUAUGAUUGACGCUGAGGCACGAAAGCGUGGGGAUCAAACAGGAUUAGAUACCCUGGUAGUC
rnacentral:rRNA from 1 species